rnacentral:rRNA from 1 species
GCAAGGGCAUCUGGGGGAUGCCUUGGCACACACAGGCGAUGAAGGACGUAAUACGCUGCGAUAAGCCACGGGGAGGUGCGAAUAUCCUUUGAUCCGUGGAUUUCCGAAUCGGGAAACCGAACCCGCAAGGGUUAUCUGUCCCUGAAUUCAAUAGGGGAGAGAGGCAAACCCGGGGAACUGAAACAUCUCAGUACCCGGAGGAAAGGACAUCAAUUGAGACUCCGUUAGUAGUGGCGAGCGAACGCGGACCAGGCCAGUGGCCUUCGAUUAAGAACCGGAACACUUUGGAAAAAGUGGCCAUAGCGGGUGAUAGCCCCGUACGGGUAGAAAUUUCGAAGGUCCUCGAGUAGGGCGGGACACGUGAAAUCCUGUCUGAACAUAGGGCGACCACGCUCUAAGCCUAAGUACUCGUGUGUGACCGAUAGUGAACUAGUACCGUGAGGGAAAGGUGAAAAGAACCCCGACGAGGGGUGUGAAAUAGACCUGAAACCGGAUGCCUACAAACAGAGGGAGCAGGCUCACCAAAGGUGAGCGGGCACUUCAACCUUGCAUCAAACGCAGAUGUGUCGAUUGAAACGUGAUCGUGUGAACGAUCGCGCGAUUUCGCAUGUCUGUUUUUUGAAUCAAUCGUUGAAGAAGUCCGCUCGUUUUUGGCGAGCCUGUGACUUCGUACCUUUUGUAUAAUGGGUCAGCGAGUUCGUCUGUCUAGCGAGCCUAAGCCGAUAGGUGGAGGCGCAGCGAAAGCGAGUCUGAAUAGGGCGUUUAGUUAGACGGAUGAGACCCGAAAGCAAGUGAUCUAGCCAUGACCAGGUUGAAGGUGCGGUAACACGCACUGGAGGACCGAACCCACGCCUGUUGAAAAAGUCGGGGAUGAGUUGUGGCUAGGGGUGAAAGGCCAAUCAAACUUGCAGAUAGCUGGUUCUCUGCGAAAGCUAUUUAGGUAGCGCGUCAUGUAUCACCACCGGGGGUAGAGCACUGGAUGGGCUAGGGGACUUCACCGUCUACCAAACCUAACCAAACUCCGAAUACCGGUGAGUGCUGAGCAUGGCAGACACACGGCGGGUGCUAACGUCCGUCGUGAAGAGGGAAACAACCCUGACCGACAGCUAAGGUCCCCAAGUCAUGGCUAAGUGUGAAAGGAUGUAAGAUUCCCAAAACAACCAGGAUGUUGGCUUAGAAGCAGCCAUCAUUUAAAGAAAGCGUAACAGCUCACUGGUCUAAAUAAGGAAUCUCGCGCCGAAAAUGUAACGGGGCUCAAGCCAUGCACCGAAGCUUCGGAUUUCACAGCAAUGUGGAAUGGUAGCAGAGUGUUCUGUAUGCCUGCGAAGGGAAAUCGUGAGAGAUCCUGGAGGUAUCAGAAGUAAGAAUGCUGACAUGAGUAGCGAUAAAGAGGGUGAGAGACCCUCUCGCCGAAAGUCCAAGGGUUCCUGCGUCAAGUUAAUCUGCGCAGGGUUAGCCGGCCCCUAAGGCAAGGCCGAAAGGCGUAGUCGAUGGGAACCAGGUCAACAUUCCUGGGCCUGUGGGUAGUGACGGAUCCCGUAACUGGUUCUUCCUUAUUGGAUUGGAAGGGCAAGGAAGGGGUCCCAGGAAAUAGCUCCCACGUUCAGUCCGUACCCGAAACCGACACAGGUGGACAGGCAGAGUAUGCUAAGGCGCUUGAGAGAACGGUGUUGAAGGAACUAGGCAAAUUGCCCUCGUAACUUCGGAAGAAGAGGGCCCAGUUUUCACGCAAGUGAGAGCUGGGGGCACAUAGCAGGGGGUGGCGACUGUUUACUAAAAACACAGGGCACUGCGAAAUCCAAAGAUGACGUAUAGUGUCUGACGCCUGCCCGGUGCCGGAAGGUUAAGAGGAGAUGUGAAAGCGUCGAAUCGAAGCCCCGGUAAACGGCGGCCGUAACUAUAACGGUCCUAAGGUAGCGAAAUUCCUUGUCGGGUAAGUUCCGACCUGCACGAAAGGCGUAACGACUUCCCCACUGUCUCCAACACCGGCUCAGCGAAAUUGAAUUCCCCGUGAAGAUGCGGGGUUCCCGCGGUCAGACGGAAAGACCCCGUGCACCUUUACUGCAACUUUGCACUGGCAUUAGGAAUCCGAUGCGUAGGAUAGGUGGUAGGCUUUGAAGUUCGGGCUCUGGCCUGGAUGGAGCCGCCCUUGAAAUACCACCCUUUGAGUUCCUGAUGUCUAACCGCGACCCCGAAACGGGGCCCGGGACCAUGCAUGGUAGGCAGUUUGACUGGGGCGGUCGCCUCCCAAAGAGUAACGGAGGCGCGCGAUGGUAGGCUCAGACCGGUCGGAAAUCGGUUGUUGAGUGCAAUGGCAAAAGCCUGCCUGACUGCAAGAGCGACGGCUCAAGCAGAGACGAAAGUCGGUCAUAGUGAUCCGGUGAUCCCGAGUGGAAGGGUCAUCGCUCAACGGAUAAAAGGUACGCCGGGGAUAACAGGCUGAUCGCACCCAAGCGUCCAUAGCGACGGUGCGGUUUGGCACCUCGAUGUCGGCUCAUCACAUCCUGGGGCUGUAGCCGGUCCCAAGGGUAUGGCUGUUCGCCAUUUAAAGUGGUACGUGAGCUGGGUUUAGAACGUCGUGAGACAGUUCGGUCCCUAUCUGCCGUGGGUGUUCGAAACUUGAGAGGACUUCUUCCUAGUACGAGAGGACCGGAAGGAACGUACCUCUGGUGGAUCGGUUGUCACGCCAGUGGCACAGCCGAGUAGCUAAGUACGGACUAGAUAACCGCUGAAAGCAUCUAAGCGGGAAACUAACCUCAAAACCAGGUUUCGCUUGAGAGCCGAGGAAGACUACCUCGUCGAUAGGCCAGGUGUGUAAGNNNNNNNNNNNNNNNNNNNNNNNNNNNNNNNNNNNNNNNNNNNNNNNNNNNN